CAGGCUCCUCCGUCCAUGGGAUUUUCCAGGCAAGAGUACUGGAGUGGGGUGCCAUUGCUUUCUCCGAGCUGACUCUAGACCCCCUGCUUCUCUAAGUUUCUGAAACAGUGGGUAAGCGUUAGUGAAAUCCAUUUCACCUGUAACCUACCUUCACUAAUCAAGGCUGUUUUAAUUGUCAGUACGGAAAACAUGCAUGUCCUCCAAGCAGCAUGUGGCCUAAAUAAGAUGUUUGCCCAAGUUGUUUUCUGGGAACUUGGAAUCAGCUAUGUCUAGUUCCAGCUGAGCUGACUAAGACUGGAUGGGACCACUGACCCUUCAACCAGGCAUGCACGAGAGUUCCAUUAGUGCCCUUUUGAAGGUGCAGAGCCUGUAGCCUAGUUAUGCCUGCUCAGAACCAUGAUUACUGCAGCUUUUCCUUAUUGUCUCCCCCCAACUACUCUCACAGCUCAGGUGCCCUGCUUCUUUCUCCCAUAAAUACCCCGAACCCCUGCCUUCAGGGAAGAGGAUUCGAGAUUUGUUCUUCAGCCUCCUCACUUGGCUGCCUUGUGAAUAAACCCUCUCUUUGCUGUAAACUUUGGCAUCUCAGCAUUUUGGCUGCAAAGCUAGGGCAGAGGGAACCUGGUUCGGUAACAAAUACGGCACACCAGCCAGGAGAUAAAUCCAGAUGGACCUGCUGCCCAUGGUUGGUCAACCUGUUGCUGGUAUUAAAAGCCUGUGGAACAGAGGGGGAGGAUAUUAGUUAACUUCAGGAAGAUGUGGAAAGUAUCAGGCUAUAUUAUUGGAUAAUCCUAAUGUCACUCUGAAAACAGCCUCCACCUUGCAUCCUGCCAGUGUGCUCCCAAAUAAUGCUGAAGAGCUUAUGCAUGAUUGUAUUCCGAUAAUUGAACCAGUCUAUUCCAGCCAUCCCAACCUGAUAGACCAGCCACUGGAGAAACCAGACCUUGAGAUGUUCACAGAUGGAAGCAGCUUUAUGGAUCAGGAAGAAUGCAAAGCUGAGUAUGUGGUGGUAACUCACCAAAAUACCCUGGAAGCAGAAGCUUUUCCCCCAGGAAUCUCUGCACAAAAGGGAGAACUAAGAUGAGAGCCCUCCAUCUAUGUAAGGCUAGGAGAGUAACUGUUUUCACUGAUUCUAAAGUAUGCUUUCUUGGUGACCCAUGUUCAUAGGGCCAUUUGGAGAAAGGACUGUUAACUGCAGGGAAUAAGGAACUUAAUCCUGCUGAAGAAAUUUUAACCUUAUUAGAAACUGUCAUGGAGCCAAAAGAAUGAAUGUCCACUGUUCAGGACAUCAGAAAGCAGAUUGUGUGACUGCUGGAAGGAAUAAUCUAGCAGAUCAAGCAGCAAAGCCAUCAGCCAGGAGCACCUAGGUCCCAGAGCUGGCUCUGGUCGCCGAUGUAGAUCUGAUGUUUGCCCGUGCCACUGCUGUCCUGGAGGCUGGAUCCUGGAGAAAUCUUGGGAGAA